rnacentral:rRNA from 1 species
AUACGUAGGGUGCAAGCGUUAAUCGGAAUUACUGGGCGUAAAGCGUGCGCAGGCGGUUUUGUAAGACAGAGGUGAAAUCCCCGGGCUCAACCUGGGAACUGCCUUUGUGACUGCAAGGCUAGAGUACGGCAGAGGGGGAUGGAAUUCCGCGGGUAGCAGUGAAACGCGUAGAUAUGAGGAGUAACACCGAUGGCGAAGGCGAUCCCCUGGGCCUGUACUGACGCUCAUGCACGAAAGCGUGGGGAGCAAACAGGAUUAGAUACCCUGGUAGUCCACGCCCUAAACGAUGUCAACUGUUUGUUGGGUCUUCAUUGACUCAGUAACGAAGCUAACGCGUGAAGUUGACCGCCUGGGGAGUACGGCCGCAAGGUUGAAACUCAAAUGAAUUGACGGGG